UUGCGUUGAGAAGGUGCCAUUCAUGAAAAGGACUCUUAGUAAUAUUUGUGGAAAGAUUAGUCGUGAACAAGCUGUGGAUGAUGUAAGGAAGACGCUGGAGGUGUUUGCUGACAUCCGUUCUACUGACCCUGGCUUCACCUAUGUGGUUUUGACUGACAAGUCCAUCAAGGUUAAAAGUCUCAUGUGGGCUAAUGGGAGCAGAAAAAUGCAAUACAAGUUAUUUGGUGAUGUGGUCACAUUCGACACUACAUACAGGAUAAACCUUUAUGACAUGCCGUUUGGGUUAUUGUCGGAGUUAACAACCAUUUUCAGAUCAUUAUUCUGGCAGGGGUGUUGAUGCGGGAUGAACAAGAAGAAAGCUUUCAAUGGGUUUUCGCGGAUGAUGGGAGGCCGUGCCCCAAAGAGAAUACUCACAGACCAAUGCAGGGCUAUGGAGAUGUCGAUCAGUAAGAUUUAUCCAGCUACUGUUCACCGGUGGUGCAGGUGGCAUGUUCUGAAGAAAGCGAAGGAAACCCUGGGACUGCUAUACACGAAGAAGAGCGACUUCCAGGCUGAAUUUCAAAAGGUUGUGAACCACAUGCUAACUCAAGAUGAGUUUGAGGCGGCUUGGGGCUUGUUGUUGGAUAAAUGUAAUCUGAGGAAGCACACGUACAUGACCCAAAUAUAUGAAACCAGGAAAAAGUGGGCACAACCGUACUUCAAGGGUGUGUUUUGCGCAAAAAUAAUGAGCACCCAACGCACUAAGAGUGCAAACCAUGUGUUGAAGAGAUGUGCAUGCCUCCUGCUAGCCCAAUGCAUGUUUUCGUAGGCAGUACAUGAGGUUGCAAUUUGACCGCGAGGGUGAGGAAAGCUACGAGGAAAAGAGGACAAUGAUUGGCGGAGCCGUAAGGAGAACCAACCUUUGCAAUAGAGUGGCACACAAGCAAAAUCUACACUAGAAAUAUGUUUGAGGAAUUUGGCCACCUCCUAAUUGAAGGGAUGGCAUACAAUGUCACUGAAGUGGAGAGGUUCAGGAAAUAUAUAAUAACUCACAACAAUGCAGCAAAAAGAGAAAAAUGGAGCAGGGUUGAGUACGAGGUGACCAUAAACGAGACCAAUCAGUAUUCACUUGCGAGUGUGGCCAGUUUGAGCACACUGGGAUGUUGUGCAGCCAUGUCUUGAGGGUCAUGGAUAUACUUCAUCUGGAGGAAAUCUCUAAGCACCAUAUUGUCGAGCGGUGGACAAAAGAGGCAAGAGAUAUACUUCUGAAGCACUUGGUUCAGUACCAGAAAGACAAUUCAGCAAACUUGUCAUUCACAUGCAGAAGCGCGAAGCUAUACCUUAAAGCCAUGGAAGUCAUGCGGAUGGGCGAUGCAAGUGCUGCAUCUUUUGAUCACAUGUAUGCUGGUCUCGAAGCUCUGCUAGUGAGUGGAGCACCAUUGGCAGAGAAGAGGGAUGGGUUGGCAUUUGAGGACCGUUUGGAUGGAACGGUAGGUGGAAGACUGCAAGGCAACGUCGAGAUUGCUUUUGUUGAAGGAGACGAUGGUGCUGACCAGUGCCAUAGUGGUGGGCAAUCUGUUAGUGUGAAUGCCCUCCAGGGCUUGGAGCUCCAAACAAGCAUAGGGGGCCGGAAGGCCAACAAACAACAGGGGGAAGGCACCUUAUGAAGGUCUAAGUAAACGAACCAGAUUCUGCAGAAUUUGUCGUCACGAAGGUCAUGAAAAGACCACGUGCCAGAGAGAGGGGUUGUGCCAAAAAACCCGGUGAAACCUAGGAAAUGCAAGAACUGCGGGAUAGAAGGCCAUCAACGAAAUACAUGCAAGAGGCCACUGGGUGUUGAUGAGAACUGAGCUAUGAAUUUUCAGUUUGUAAUGCGUGUUGUUGUUUAAUCUGGGGAUUUUCUAGUGUGUUUCAGUUGAGCACUGCUCCACGCUUGUACCUCAAUCUGCAGGGGCGUGUUUCAUGAUGUAUC